UAGGGAAUCUUCGGCAAUGGACGAAAGUCUGACCGGGCAACGCCGCGUGAGUGAAGAAGGUUCUCGGAUCGUAAAACUCCGUUGUUAGAGAAGAACAAGGACGUUAGUAACUGAACGUCCCCUGACGGUAUCUAACCAGAAAGCCACGGCUAACUACGUGCCAGCAGCCGCGGUAAUACGUAGGUGGCAAGCGUUGUCCGGAUUUAUUGGGCGUAAAGCGAGCGCAGGCGGUUUCUUAAGUCUGAUGUGAAAGCCCCCGGCUCAACCGGGGAGGGUCAUUGGAAACUGGGAGACUUGAGUGCAGAAGAGGAGAGUGGAAUUCCAUGUGUAGCGGUGAAAUGCGUAGAUAUAUGGAGGAACACCAGUGGCGAAGGCGGCUCUCUGGUCUGUAACUGACGCUGAGGCUCGAAAGCGUGGGGAGCAAACAGG
rnacentral:rRNA from 1 species